UAAACGACUCUCGACAACGGAUAUCUCGGCUCACGCAUCGAUGAAGAACGUAGCAAAAUGCGAUACUUGGUGUGAAUUGCAGAAUCCCGUGAACCAUCGAGUUUUUGAACGCAAGUUGCGCCCGAAGCCAUUCGGCCGAGGGCACGUCUGCCUGGGCGUCACGC
rnacentral:rRNA from 1 species